CUGAAAUAGAAUCAUAUGAUGUUCCCCUUAAUAAUGCAGGAGGAAUACAUGGCAGAGCUAGAGAGAGUUAAAGUAUGGCUUACCCUUUUGAACUUGGCAGAGUAAUGAAUGAAGGUGGAAGAAUGUGGUGUUGUUUGGCUGGAGUUAACUAAGUGAGGAGGAGUUGUUGCUCUUCAAUUGGCUUGACAAAGUGUAGUGGUGGUGUUGUAUGAAUGGGGAGAAAAGCAUGGUGGAGCGAAAAAGAAAGUUUGUGUAAUGAUACUGAUGACUUUGUAUGUUAUUAUGAGUUGUGGACAUCAAUGUAUCAAUGUGAUUGGAAUAUUGUAUAUUGUUACUGGUAGUUGUAAAAAUAUGUUGUGUGCGUGUAAUACUGUUUUAUCGAA